GCGGGAUACCACGUGAGGGGCGGAGACCCUGCGGGGAAAUGAUUAAAAGCUGAACGGAGCCGCAGGGGGCCGCUGCGGGGAGGGUCUUCUUGGGGCCGCCUAGCCCCGCCCCAGUCCAGCGGCAGCACGGGUUCAGGCGGCUGCUUGGAGAGCCGGGGUGUCCCGGGCAUGAGCGGGGUGUGGGGGACCGGGGGGCCUCGGUGCCAGGCGGCGCUCGCGGUCCUGGCUUCUCUGUGCCGGGCCCGGCCGCCCCCUCUCGGGCUGGACGUGGAGACUUGUCGGAGCUUCGAGCUACAGCCCCCAGAGAGGAGUCCGAGCGCGGCCGAUACAGGCACCUCUGUCAGCCUCCUCGCAGUGGUAGUUAUUGUGUGUGGCGUGGCCCUGGUGGCAGUUUUUCUCUUUCUCUUUUGGAAGCUGUGCUGGAUGCCCUGGAGGAACAAGGAGGCCUCCAGUCCCACUUCUGCUAGCCCUCCCCUGGAGGCCCCCCAGAGCCCCAGCUCCGGAGGCAACAUGGCGGACAAGCUGAAGGACACCAACAGCCUCGGCUUCCUAGAGGCGGCCGUGAAGAUCAGCCACACGUCCCCAGAUAUCCCGGCCGAGGUGCAGAUGUCGGUCAAGGAGCACAUCAUGCGUCACACGCGGCUGCAGCGACAGACCACAGAGCCAGCAUCGUCUACCAGGCACACGUCCUUCAAGCGCCACCUGCCACGGCAGAUGCACGUGUCCAGCGUGGACUACGGCAACGAGCUGCCCCCCGCGGCGGAGCAGCCCACCAGCAUUGGCCGCAUCAAGCCCGAACUCUACAAGCAGAAAUCGGUGGACGGGGAUGAUGCCAAGUCCGAGGCUGCCAAGAGCUGCGGGAAACUCAACUUCAGCCUGCGCUAUGACUACGAGAGCGAGACCCUGAUCGUGCGCAUCCUCAGGGCCUUCGACCUCCCCGCCAAGGACUUUUGCGGCAGCUCUGACCCCUACGUCAAGAUCUACCUCCUGCCUGAUCGCAAACGCAAGCUGCAGACGCGGGUGCACCGCAAGACCCUGAACCCCACCUUCGACGAGAACUUCCACUUCCCCGUGCCCUACGAGGAGCUGGCAGACCGCAAGCUGCAUCUCAGCGUCUUCGACUUCGACCGUUUCUCCCGCCAUGACAUGAUCGGAGAGGUCAUCCUGGACAACCUCUUUGAGGCCUCCGACCUGUCCCGGGAAACCUCCAUCUGGAAGGACAUCCAGUAUGCCACCAGUGAAAGCGUGGACCUGGGAGAGAUCAUGUUCUCGCUGUGCUACCUGCCCACAGCAGGCAGGCUCACCCUCACAGUGAUCAAAUGUCGGAACCUCAAGGCGAUGGACAUUACAGGCUAUUCAGAUCCAUAUGUCAAAGUGUCCCUGCUUUGUGAUGGGAGGAGACUGAAGAAGAAGAAAACGACCAUAAAGAAGAACACUCUCAACCCUGUCUACAAUGAAGCCAUCAUCUUUGACAUCCCCCCAGAGAACAUGGAUCAAGUCAACCUGCUCAUCUCGGUUAUGGAUUACGAUCGAGUGGGCCACAAUGAGAUCAUAGGAGUGUGUCGUGUGGGGAUCAAUGCCGAAGGCCUGGGCAGGGACCACUGGAACGAGAUGCUGGCGUACCCACGGAAGCCCAUUGCACACUGGCACUGCUUGGUGGAGGUAAAGAAAUCCUUCAAAGAGGUGGGUGAGGUCGCGCUUGGCCCUUGGCAAGUUUGCCGCAUGGCAGCGUGGGCUGGAGAAUGGCAGUCGGCGGCUGUACGACCUCGCCUUCGUGGGUCCUUUCCGGGGUGUGCGGGGGCUACGUGCUUCUCACCCAGUGCGGAACAGGCAGGAAGGAAAUGGAGGAGGACAGUGGGAAGCUGCCUGACAAAAAGCCUCUGAUGUCGAGCAUAUUGAAAGCGACACUGAGUUCUAAACGGAAAAUUAGAACUUGGAGGAAGCCUUCCCAGCAGCUCCACUGUGCCAGGCCCAGGAUGCUUUCACGAAGCCCCCGGGGCCGAGUCAGUCCUUUGGGAGAAAGCCCCAAGAGGCUGAGAUCAGAACGUGGCCGUGGAAGCACUAGGUUCCCUGAGGCUCUAGCCAGGUGGUCCCAAGGCAGUCUUCAUUGUCUGGAUGCAGAUGGCCAGAGAUCAGAUCCUGCCACCACGAAUGCCGGUUCUCCCGUUGUUGGACGGAGUGUGGCUUCAAGGCGGCACACUGUGUGACCGCAUCCUAACAGAGAUAUGAUGGAUGGAGCACUGCCCAGGAGUCCUGAGCCCUGGGCUCCAAUCUUGGCCCCUUUGGCCUUGCUAUAUAAUAAUCUGGAGCCAAUCAUUUCUCUCAACUGCAAAGAAAAUGUCCCUUCCAGUGACAUUGACAGUUGGCUUCCCUUCCGCCAAACUCUGCCAAUGUAAGAUCCUGCUAUGUAUCACCCUGGUGGCUCCCAGGCCUGCUUUUUCUCAAAUGGGUUGAGAUGCGGGGGUCGCCAGGCGAGCUUUAAGCCUCAUUUUGAGUAUCUCAUACCCAUUUCAUAUCCUAAACAGCAGGUGAUUGCUUGUUCAUCCUAGCCUUCAAGCCUAGGAAGUCUAGAGCAUAAAGUUGGAAAAUCUAAUGAAAAAAAUAAAGCUUUAACCCUUACACCACGUGGCCCCUCAGCUGAAAAGCAGUCACCUUAAAAACAGUACAGUUGACCUUUGAACAACACGGUUUGAACUGUGUGGGUCCACUUAGGUGUGGACUUUUUUUAUAUAUACAAAUACAGUACAGUACUGUAAAUGUAUUUUCUCUCCCUGAUGACUUUAUUUAAAAAAAAAUUUUUUUUUAAUGUUUAUUUAUCUUCAAGAGAGAUGGAGAGACAGAGAGCAAGCAGGGGAGGGGCCAAGAGAGAGGGAGACAUAGAAUCUGAAGCAGGCUCCAGGCUCUGAGCUGUCAGCACAGAGCCCGACGUGGGGCUCGAACUCAUGAACUUCAGGAUCAUGACCUGAGCCAAAGUGGAUGCUUAACCGACUGAGCCACCCAGGCGCCCCUGCAGUAUGAGGUGUCUUAAGAGAGACUGGGAGCUGAGGGGAUUUGGACAUGUGGAAUCAUGUGGGGGAUAGAAGGUUCUAGGAGCCAACCUAAUUGAUUUACCUACUCAGGUAGGCGUGCCUUCAAGGCCAGUGUGGAGAAGUAAGUCAUAGACACAAAGUUCCUGGUCAUCUGAGGCCUCAUGUUUCUGUCUUGUGGUUUCCUUGAUUCUACCACAGCUUCUGUGAAGCUUAAAUGACUGAGGCCAGUCCCAUCCCUCACCUCCCCGGCUCCCUUCCCCCAGGAGAUCUUCUGCCUCCUCUUAUCCAGAAGGCUCUGUCUACAGGGUGUGUGUGCGGUACCCACGACCAGCCUCUGCCUACUCAGGAGGCAGCUCCUAGACAGAACAGUAGGUGCCCAGAGACCACACCUGGUACCUCACUUGAAUGCAGGGUUGAAUCAACCAAGGGAGGGUGCCCUGCCCCCUCCCCCAUUUUUAAAUCCAUUGGAGAUACAUUGAGUAGAAUAAGUACACUGAAGUGUUCAGGAUGGAUUAGGGGGAGGGACAUGUAAGCUGAGAGGUCCCUGACGGGCUGCAGGGCUUCAGGCAACUCACUGCCUCUUCUGGUUUCCCGUUUCCGGGUUGGUAAAUGAGGCGGUAGGCUCCUGUCAUCUCUGCUCUUCUGGAAACUCGGACCCUUAAAUGAUCACUAGUGGACCCAGUGAGCCCUCCCGUUGCACCACCUCAGAAAGAUAACCGGCAUUAUAACUGGGCUGGUCUGUCCACGCAAACCGGAAGCAACCGGCCGGAGGCGGCUGGAGUUGGGGUGGGUGCAGAGUGGCACGAGGGUGCCGGGACUCGGUUCCAGAAUCACUCCAUGAUGAAUACAACCUAAUUAAGCCAAAGAAUUGAUUCCAAGUCCCGUUUCUUUGAAAACCCUGACUCACUAGUCCAGACUACAAAAGAAAGAAAGAUAAAGUGGAAUCAAGCCCUUGAAAAUGAAUAUUUGAUGAGACAGUGAAGGGAAAGUAACAGUAUAUGGAAAACGAAAAGAGAAUACAUUGAUUCCUAUCCUUUGGGCUUACUUUUUUCUUGACCUCACACACCAAGCUCCCGAGACUGCCCCUCCCCCACUCAUUAUCCUACCAUUUUCCGCUCAGCUGAUCAGUUCUCUGUAUGAAGAAGCUGAAAAUGACAUUCAUCUUGGCAACUUAGGAUUUCACCUACACUUUUAGCACCCACAGUUUGAGAAUCUUUAACAAAAAUGCAUCUAAAAGCCUACCAGGUAGAUAUGAAGUAAACCCUCUUUGGGCUCACGUGAUGCAUCGUACUUGAACGUUUAUCCCUCUCAGUCAUCCUUAGAGCUCCCAGCUCGCCUCCUCGGUUCUGUGCUAGACACUGAGCAAGAACCUUGCCCCUGGAACCUGUUUCUCCCAUUUCUAUAGUACAUAAAGAAAUCUUAUUCUCCAGCUCCCGGGCAGAUAAAUGGCAUCGUCUCUGUAAAGCGCUCUCUAUUUAUAUUGUACCUUUCUUAGAAGAGUUUCAAGCGCUGUGAUCGUUCCUUUUUUAUUAAUGAGAACAAGAGGGCACCAUACUUGCUCGCUUGUUUGGGGUUUUAAAAUAAGGUUGAGGGGAACAAACUAACUGAAAAGGUAUUUUUCCCUGCUGGGAUGUUUUCCUGAGUAGAAAUUGAUUAAGCCACAGCGAGCAUCCUUCUCUGGCGGGGGCUAUGGCCCUCUUCUCUCUGAGCACUCCUGCCCGGUGCUGCGUAUCAUUGAUUUCACCACACACAGAGCCCGGGUUGACCAGCAGCCUUCUCCAAGGCAUUUUUAUCAUGGAGCACCAAGUUUAGAUCAGCUUCCGGAGAUUUUUAGAUCUGUUGGAACGUGACCCAUUUCAGAACAAUAAAAGGGCUUACUGGAACACAGCCGCCCUGUGUGCCAGGGUCAGUUCUUUGCUAUUUCAGAGCCGCCAUGAUAAGCCUGCUAGAACCAUUCACUUUCCCAUCGUCCACGGACCCCAUCUCCCUCCUCUGUUUAUCUUCAUAGAAAAAAUCAGGGGCUGGCAGGGGAGCGAGCGUGCCUUCUUCAUUUGUCCCGGGUUAACAAUUACGCUCUGUGUGACUUCUCUUUGGGCUAUUACAUAGAGAAAAAAAGGUACUCUGUGUAGCCACUUCGUUUUUCUCCUCUGAACUGGCCUACCAAUCAGAUUGUUUAGGUGGCAUGCUUCCCCAGGGGAGAAGCCGGCAAUUACAAUGUACCUUGCACCGACAUCAAAAGUCCUGGCAGAAAAGAGUACAAUUCCUAAAGUAAAGGUGUGUCAAAUGCAAGCAUUAGUAAUCAUCUCGUGUCACCUUCUGGUUAGGAAACACUUGAGUCAGAGGUCACAGCGGGCUCAACAACCAGGCAUUCAUGUAUUUAAAAUAUUUCACCAGGGAAACCCUCGGUUGUGAUUUCAUUCACGUGGAUGCUGCAAGCAGAGAGACUACCACCUGGAGUUAGGAUGGCAGGGCCGGGCUGCCAGCUUUGACAGUGAGAGCUCCUGCCCGUCCCCGAAACCACCUCCCACACCAUGAGCUGCGCGG